rnacentral:rRNA from 1 species
GACGAACGCUGGCGGCGUGCUUAACACAUGCAAGUCGAACGGAAAGGCCCUGCUUUUGUGGGGUGCUCGAGUGGCGAACGGGUGAGUAACACGUGAGUAACCUGCCCUUGACUUUGGGAUAACUUCAGGAAACUGGGGCUAAUACCGGAUAGGAGCUCCUGCUGCAUGGUGGGGGUUGGAAAGUUUCGGCGGUUGGGGAUGGACUCGCGGCUUAUCAGCUUGUUGGUGGGGUAGUGGCUUACCAAGGCUUUGACGGGUAGCCGGCCUGAGAGGGUGACCAGACAGAAGGGGACUGAGACACGGCCCAGAGUCCUACGGGAGGCAGCAGGGGGGAAGAGUGGACAAUGGGUGAAAGCCUGAGCCAGCAACGCGGCGGGAGUGAUGAAGGCGUGAGGGGUGGAAAGCUCGUGUACCCGGGAUGAUAAUGACAGGACCGGGAGAAUAAGAGCCGGCUAACUCCGUG